GACAGAGGGUGCAAACGUUGCUCGGAAUUACUGGGCGUAAAGCGCGCGUAGGCGGGGGAUUAAGUGAGAAGUGAAAGGCUGAGGCUCAACCUCAUGCAGUGCUUCUCAUACUGGUCCUCUUGAGGGUGGUAGAGAGAAGUGGAAUGGCUGGUGUAGCGGUGAAAUGCGCAGAUAUCGGGAGGAACACCAAUGGCGAAGGCAGCACUCUGGGCCGGUACUGACGCUGAGGAGCGAAAGCGUGGGGAGCGAACAGG
rnacentral:rRNA from 1 species